CCCUGGGGAUUGCGUUGAAAAAAGUCAGGGAAAAAUGAAAAAUUUGGUCUGGAAAUCAGGGAAAAGUCAGGGAAUUUCAUUAUUGGACUCCUGUAGCAACCCUGAAUAAAAAUUAAAAUAAUAUGCUAAGACAUUACAUGGCAAAAACAAUAGAUAUAUGAGGCUUUAAUUAUCUGUCAUAACAUUUAUAAAUAAUCAAUUUUACAUAACCAAAAUUGAAAUGAUUUAUUUCGACAUAGACAAGAUACGAGUUUGGUAAUGGGGCAUGAAAAGAAAGCCUAUAAGUCGAAAAUAAAUUGAGCAAUAAACUUGAAAUUUUAUAUAUUUUGCCUAGCUAUUGCUAAGGGUCCUGGCAAUAUUGUUCUUUAAUCUGUCUGUCUUUUUGUAUUCCGCUAGAUAAGUAUACAAUACCACUGCAAUGAAAUGAUACGAAACUUUAUACAAUUCAUCAGCAUAAAUUAUAACAAUAAAAAGAUUUUUUCCCAAAAUUUUACCUUAGUUUAAGAAAAUAACCAUUAUAAAGCAUUUAAAGAAAUGAGAAAGACUAUAGCAGUGAAAAAUAUUAUAAAUACCUUAAAAGUACCCUGACGUACUUUUCUUUAACUUUGAGGGAUAAUUGUUUUUAAUUUCAAUUGAAGGUUUCAGAUGACUAUGUUUUAAUCAUAGUUUGCUCAACACUUUAUCAAAACAAUAAAAAGUGUUGUAUAAAGCUCAAAACUAAAGAUGCCCAAUUUAUAUUUUCCUUCCCGCUGGGUAUUACACCACUAACCAUCGGAAAGCUAAUUGGACUGGGUGUGCGUGAAAAUUAAUCAAAAACCACUGCUAUAGUUCUAUUAACAUUUCGUGUUAUGAUGCGAGGUGUGGCGUGCCCUGUUAUACGGUCUAAGUGUAAAACCGGUACAGCUUUAAAAAAAAUGUUUGAUUUUAUUUCUUCCAAGAAAUAGAAAUUAAAGCACAAUAUUUUUUAAAUUUCUAAAUGCAAGCUUUUUGAACCGAUGCCAAAUUUUCUUCAGCGCUUAAAGGGUUAAUACAUCGCAAACAUUCUAGCACUGAACCCAUAAAAGUAUGGAUUAAGUAGCACAAUUCAGUCGAAAAUGUCAAUCAUAUAAAAGUAUGGGAUUCCCGUCCUUCACGAGUUUGCUGUUCUGUAAAAAUACAAUAGCCGUACUCAAAGUGUUAAAUACCCCAAAUAAAUAUAGAUGAAAUUGUGUUAAAAAUGAGUUUUCGAGCUAUGAAAACAUAAUUAUUACUAAAGUAAUGUAUAUUUCAUAAAUAUCUUAAUUUGUAUUCAUCCCUGACUAAUUUUCAAAAACAUAACCACAUGGUAUAUUUUAAUUACAUCAUGUGCUUAAAAUUGUAUUUAACGAUACAUGUUCAUUAUUUAUUCAAUAUUUUUGGUUAGUUUUAGCGGAAAUAAUUUUUCAUAAGGGGAAAUGGAGCUUUUCCUGAAAGGUAGCAACAAAGUCACAAGCGACAAAAACAUGAGUGGUAGCAGGAAUUGUAUGGAAAGUUGAACCAUUAUAAUUGACCAUAAUUAUAAUUUUUUUAAGCAGUGAAACACAUAAUUUAAUUAGAUAUUAUUUUACAUUAAAAUUAUAAAAGAUUAUUUAUAAUAUUAAUAUUAUUUCAAUCUUCAAAGUAAAGAAAAUUCUUAAAUUUGUUUUAAGUUUUCACUAAAUAUUGACUACCGAAAAUCAGAAUUUGAUUAAAAAUGUUCCUUAUUUUAAAUUCAUAAGAAAUUAACUGCCAGGGUUGAUUUAUUCUAUUUAUCUUGUCACUUAAAACCACUUUUUGAAGUCUAAUUUUUUAAGAUCAAUUUAUCGUUUAUGAAAACUUCGAAUAGAACUGCCUAAUAUGUUGUACAAUCGAGUGAUUUUAUUAGAAUUAACUUUCAGUAGAAUGUCGUAAUUGGGUCCUAGCAAAUUUCAUAGUGUAUAUAUACGUCUAUAUUUGACAUGAAGGGUUACGGAAUGGAGAGACCCGUAUCAAGCAAGGUUUGUUACGCAAAUUGUAUAUAUUUAUCACUGUUGUUGUUAAGAUAUGUUAUAAAGCUGUUGAGUAGAGUAGGGAUUCAUAGCUUCCAAAGCAUCUGUCAUAUCCACAGCAUCGCGUCGUUUAACAUCGAGAAGGCGUUGGUCUGUUUAUUUUUACAUUUUGUUGUGUUUUACCACUUGUUUAUUUCGUUCACAGACAGACAGGAAGCCAAGCUCCUCCAUAGAACUUUUGUGUAAAUCUGCAGUGUUGAUUAUUAUAGAUUUUUAAGCAAUAUGUUGAAGAUUUGUUAGUUAUUUGAUUUUACACAGAAUAAAUAAAUAUAAAUGAAAGUAAUGCAUUGUUUGUGGUUUGCCAGAUACCAAGAGAAAGCUAAAAUCUGAGAUAUUGUGUAAUAAGUAAUAAGGAAAUCAGAUGAUAGUGUUAUGAUUAUAAGCUAAUGCCUACUCUUAGUUAUCGUAUAAGAAUAUUCAAAAAUAAAAUAAAAACAAUUCUGAUGCCUUUAGCUGGGCUGUCAAGCCCAUCGUUAUGAUCAAAUGAAUAAAUGUAAUAAUUCUAGGUAAAGUAAACGAAGGCAUCUUGGUUGUUUUCUCAGCUUCAAAUAUAAUUAUUUAUUAAGCAGUUAACCUAGUCACUGUUUAUAAUAGGGAUAAUCAGAGUUUACAGCCGCAGAUGUUAUUGUCCUGGGUCCUCAUUUAAGAAUUUGUUACGUCAGUCAUCGUUCGAGACAACCGUACAAAAGUACUUAAAAAGCUUUAAAUUUUUAGAUAAAAGUAAAUUACUUUUUAUGUGUAUAUAUUUUAAGUACUUGGUUUGAGUUUAAAUUUUAAUUCUGAAACUUAAAUUAUUGGUGUGAUAAAUAUAAUUGAGACAUGAAAACACCAGUGAAUGAAAUCGUAUAGGUUAAAUAACAUUUUUUGUUGGGUUUUAGCUUUUUUAACUUGAAAUGUGUAUACCUGUGAAUUAAAAACUUUUUAACGUAACCUAAGAUUUUUUUAAUGAAAUGUCUAUACAAUGGGAAAUACCUACUCUACAAGUGUGUUAGUUCAAAUUGUGUACAUUUUACUACAUCUUAAGGAGCCAUUAUUGUAACUGUAGACAGUUAAAAUAUCCUGUAUAAAAAUGUUAUGAGUGAUUUUCCUUUCAUGAAGCUCGUGUUGUAUUAAUUUCUAGACAAUUUUGUACACGUUACACGAUGUAUAUGUUACAAUAAAUACUGGUCGAGUGGUUAAACCGUGUAUAUUACCGGAUAGUUAUAUCAGAAUCAUACAUAAAUCUUUGUUAGAUCUGUUUUCUAUAUUUUUUCUAGAUCACUCAUAAUACAGAGCACAUGUUCCUGCUACAUCUUGACAACAACAUUGUAUUAUUAUUUGUUCGUGUUCGGUUGUUAAGUAUGUAUUAUUGUACAAAGUACGAUUAUGUAUAGUGGAGGUUAUGUAUAGAUUAUGUACACCACAGCUGUUUUAAUGGCCAAUUUGUACAAUGUUAUCUAAAUUUGUAAAAGUUACAAGAAAGGCGUCAGGCUAAGUCGCAUCACUACAUUUGGCCUUAACUGGUGUAGUCUGGGCUUUCCAUGCAUCAAUAAAUACAGUUUUCUUUACACUUUA
rnacentral:lncRNA from 1 species